UCCUCCCAGGCAGGGCCCGUCCCAGCCUGCAGCUUCCUCAGCCAAGGUCAGCUUUACCUGCAGGGGCCUGUCCGGCUUCCGCCCCUAAGAUAGCAGGCCUUUGGAAGGUGUGGACGUGCUCUCACGGACAGUAAGAACCAGGCUGCCCAGCUUCCGGAACACAUCUUGGAUCUGAAAGUCAGGGCCUUUCUUAACGCUAAUUGUAGAAACUCUUGAAAUAAUAAAAUAAAAACCGAUUGUGUCCACUUAUACUCUCGUAAAUAAAGAGUGGUUUACCAAUUUAUCUGAAA